rnacentral:rRNA from 1 species
UACGUAGGGGGCAAGCGUUGUCCGGAUUUAUUGGGCGUAAAGAGCGUGUAGGCGGCCAGACAGGUCCGUUGUGAAAACUCGAGGCUCAACCUCGAGAUGUCGAUGGAAACCGUCUGGCUAGAGUCCGGAAGAGGAGUGUGGAAUUCCUGGUGUAGCGGUGAAAUGCGCAGAUAUCAGGAAGAACACCUAUGGCGAAGGCGGCACUCUGGGACGGUACUGACGCUGAGACGCGAAAGCGUGGGGAGCGAACAGG